rnacentral:rRNA from 1 species
UACGGAGGGUGCAAGCGUUGUCCGGACUUAUUGGGUGUAAAGGGUGCGCAGGCGGGUUAUUAAGUCUGGGGUGAAAGGCCGCCGCUCAACGGUGGGAAUGCCUUGGAUACUGGUAAUCUGGAGUGUAGGAGAGGUCGACGGAAUUGGCGGUGUAGCGGUGAAAUGCAUAGAUAUCGCCAAGAACACCGGUGGUGAAGACGGUCGGCUGGCCUAUAACUGACGCUCAGGCACGAAAGUGUGGGGAUCAAACAGG